UAGGGAAUCUUCGGCAAUGGGGGCAACCCUGACCGAGCAACGCCGCGUGAGUGAAGAAGGUUUUCGGAUCGUAAAGCUCUGUUGUAAGUCAAGAACGAGUGUGAGAGUGGAAAGUUCACACUGUGACGGUAGCUUACCAGAAAGGGACGGCUAACUACGUGCCAGCAGCCGCGGUAAUACGUAGGUCCCGAGCGUUGUCCGGAUUUAUUGGGCGUAAAGCGAGCGCAGGCGGUUUGAUAAGUCUGAAGUUAAAGGCUGUGGCUCAACCAUAGUUCGCUUUGGAAACUGUCAAACUUGAGUGCAGAAGGGGAGAGUGGAAUUCCAUGUGUAGCGGUGAAAUGCGUAGAUAUAUGGAAGAACACCAGUGGCGAAGGCGGCUACCUGGUCUGCAACUGACGCUGAGACUCGAAAGCAUGGGUAGCGAACAGGAUUAGAUACCCUGGUAGUCCAUGCCGUAAACGAUGAGUGCUAGGUGUUGGAGGGUUUCCGCCCUUCAGUGCCGGAGCUAACGCAUUAAGCACUCCGCCUGGGGAGUACGACCGCAAGGUUG
rnacentral:rRNA from 1 species